rnacentral:rRNA from 1 species
GGGUUGUGAGGUUAAGCGACUAAGCGUACACGGUGGAUGCCCUGGCAGUCAGAGGCGAUGAAGGACGUGCUAAUCUGCGAUAAGCGUCGGUGAGGUGAUAUGAACCGUUAUAACCGGCGAUUUCCGAAUGGGGAAACCCAGUGUGUUUCGACACACUAUCA